UGAAGUAAAAGUCGUAACAAGGUUUCCGUAGGUGAACCUGCGGAAGGAUCAUUACUGAGUUAGGGUCUUUAUGGCCCGACCUCCAACCCUUUGUUUAAUCUACCAUGUUGCUUUGGCAGGCCCGCUUAGAAAUGGGCCGCCGGAGACCUUUGAGUCUCUGGUCAGUGCCUGCCAGUAGCCUUUCUAAAUUCAUUUAUAACCGUGUCUGAAUAUACAAAGAAAAAUUAAAAUAAAACUUUCAACAACGGAUCUCUUGGUUCUG
rnacentral:misc_RNA from 1 species